rnacentral:ncRNA from 1 species
CUUAUGGAGAGUUUGAUCCUGGCUCAGGACGAACGCUGGCGGCGUGCCUAAUACAUGCAAGUCGAGCGGAUGACGGGGAGCUUGCUCCCCCGAUUCAGCGGCGGACGGGUGAGUAACACGUGGGCAACCUGCCUGUAAGG